AACCGCCGUAUACGGAACCGUACGUACGGUGGUGUGGGAGGAGGGCCUAAAAUGCCCUCCUACCCGAU
rfam:Ochrobactrum anthropi ATCC 49188 chromosome 1, complete sequence.